rnacentral:rRNA from 1 species
UACGGAGGGUGCGAGCGUUGUCCGGAAUCAUUGGGCGUAAAGGGCGCGUAGGUGGCUUCUUAAGCGUGCGGUGAAAGCCUGGGGCUCAACCCCGGGUCGGCCGUGCGAACUGGGGGGCUGGAGCACUGUAGAGGCAGGCGGAAUUCCACGUGUAGCGGUGAAAUGCGUAGAGAUGUGGAGGAACACCAGUGGCGAAGGCGGCUUUCUGGUCUGUAACUGACGCUGAGGCGCGAAAGCGUGGGGAGCAAACAGG